rnacentral:lncRNA from 1 species
CAAAUCGCGAUGCUGACGACCUAUGGUAAUGCUGAUAUUUGCCUGACCCAUAAGAAGUUGAAUGAUCAAAAUCACCGGAUGUUGAAAAUCUAUGGUGAUGAUAAUUGCCUGACCCAUAAGAAGCGGAAUUAUCAAAAUCAAGCCUGUUGGACUUUCUGGAUGAACGGGAAACAGAAGCAUGACCACCAGAACUGGAGUUCGAAAUCUUAGCUCUCUUGUUUCUAGGAGUCGAAGGAGAUCUCCAAUUAUUAGAUUGGGGAUAGUCUUCAAGAUCAUCCGGGACCCAACCGCCCCUUCGUUUCACCUUAUAGCCCGACGUAUAUCCGCCUUCAGUUUUUCCUUUCUUCUUCCAUGCCCUACCAAAAUCACGAGGUACAGACUUGAAC